UCAUCAUGCCCUGUCCCUUUCUUUGCCCAACCUCUCGACCUUUGCUACACUUUUAACUCCUAGAGUUACCUCUCUUUCUCUCUCUAUCUCUCAAGUCUGUGUAUGACAACGAGGAAUUGAAUCGGGUCAUUUACAGUUACGACCCUCCACGCACGGAUCUUCGAGCCCAUAGAAUAAUCCCAAAACGGCAUCGUGACAGUGCUCAUCACACCUGUGCUCGGUAGAAGGACGCUUUGGAGCGGUGACCUUCGACGUGAGAGGCGUGGACCGGCGCAGUCGGGCUCCUCUGAAAUCCACGAUGUUGUUGCUGUCUGCAACUGGGUCUCUCUCAACUUGUCCGCUAAUCGCAUUUUGUAGCAGGUCCUGCAAAGGAUUGCUCAUGGUGGGAUUGUGGAUCACUGGAUUUAUAUAAUCAUUUCAUCACUGUGCUUGGAUGUCGGUGCAUAAAUGAACAUGACAGUAACUCGAUGAACUAAGGUUUGGUGUUUUGGUUCAAAAUUCUGCAGCUACAACCAAAAGAAGUCCGAAUAUUUAACAAGAAAAAGCGGGUUUCCGGGAGGGCAUUAGAAGUGCAACCCACAACAUCAGAAGGCACAGCCAGCCAGGCCAUUAGUACCAACAAAAUCUUUGAAUCUUUACUUACAUAUUAUCCACCGCCAUUACAUAAAUAUUUAAACCGAGACCAGGCUGGUGGAAAUUUUAC